UACGUAGGGGGCAAGCGUUGUCCGGAAUCAUUGGGCGUAAAGCGCGUGUAGGCGGUUCGGUAAGUCUGCUGUGAAAGUCCAGGGCUCAACCCUGGGAUGCCGGUGGAUACUGUCGGACUAGAGUACGGAAGAGGCGAGUGGAAUUCCUGGUGUAGCGGUGGAAUGCGCAGAUAUCAGGAGGAACACCCAUAGCGAAGGCAGCUUGCUGGGACGUUACUGACGCUAAGGCGCGAAAGCGUGGGGAGCGAACAGG
rnacentral:rRNA from 1 species